UUUACAAUGUGAACAUCGUAAUUCGGAUGCCUACGUUUUGUGUAUACACGAUAUAGUAUACAGAUGUCAACAGUCUGCUGUGGUCAGCUGUUUUAAGUUAUUAAGUUUCUAGUGCAGUAUUUAUAACAAUAGGAGCCAAUAAUAUGGCAAAAAUGCCGCGAAUCUGUGCAGCUUUGAAUUGUGAUAACUCUACUGAAAAAGGCUUUCGCCCAUUUCGAUUUCCGAAAUCGGAAAGCCAAAGAAAGGCCUAGUUAAAAACCAGUGGUCUUGAUGUCCUGUUUGAAGCUGAAAGAUGGUCUCCACAUUCUAAAUCGUGUCUAUGUGAUGUACAUUUUAGAACAGAUUGUUUUGUGCCUGCGGGUUAGGGAAAGAUAAGGUUGAAAAAGAUUAACAUUCCCAUUAUAUUUUCCAAUUAUGAAUUAUGCGUUGAAACUCCGACUCCACCCAAGCAAAAAGUAGACAGUCAUAUUUGAAAAAAUAGAUUGAACUCAAUAUCACUAAUGGAGUGGAAAACCAAGAAAAUAUCCCAAAAGGGAUUAAAUAAAUGGAUCAGUCACAUCCAGAAAAAUCGAAGUCCCGAAUAAUGGAAAAUAGUUUGAAGAAUCUUGUUCAAAAUAUUGUAAUACAAACUGAUUGUCCACAAACAUAAGGGUGUAAUAAAAGGGGAAAAGUUAUUUUCGAUAAAGACUGGAAUAAUACGGACCAAAAAGAUUCAAAACUGUUGGACAAUGCAGCACGUUGAAAAUUCUGAACCCUGUCAUGUCGAAGACAGCACUCUGGAAUCUUGCCUCGAAGAAGGAGUUCAGCAACCAUGCUUUGAAAUACUGAAAGUCCCAUUCUCUGAAGAUGAUAUUGAGAAAGAGAUAAACGUCAUGCUGGAUUCUGGCACCGAUUUGAUCAAUGAAGUUAAAGAAGCAUUGAAGGAUGAUCCUAAGCUUUAGACGUCGUCGUUUAAACUCAGUUUUAAAUAAGGAUCAAAUUAAAGUUCUAAAUGGAACGUACAAAGAAAUUCCAAAAUGGGCUAACAACACAGUAGUGAAAGUUUUAAAACUGCAUUUUGCUUGCGGAUCUUCUGCUUAUAAAGAACUCUUGAAGCAAAAUAACCCUUUACCAGGACUGAGAAAAUUAAAUAGGAAAACUGAAGGAUUUAAAUUUGAGCCAGGAAUAAGCGAUGAUAUUUUUAAAUUCCUUGAAAUUAAAGUUAGCACCUUUAAAAACUAGGAGGCACAGCAA